rnacentral:lncRNA from 1 species
AAAUAAUGAUAAUAAUCUAUUCAAAGUAUUUGCUUUUUCAAGCCAAAAGUAGAGAGAGAAAAUAUCAAAGUAUAUUGUCAAAACUCAAUAUGUCGACUCAAAAACCCUAAAACAAUGAUUUUAAAUAGUUCACCCUAAUUAUGGAAACAAAAUAAUAAAAUUCAGAAAUCUCUUGGAUCAGGUGACGACAUUUGUGACAGCCUAUCAGGAGGCUGACGACUUAUCAUAAAUGUCAUCAGCUUCUUCUUUAGUUUUGGCUCUUCCUACUUAAGGCUGAUGACAAUCUUGAUGACUUAUCAACUCCUUGAUGACCUAUCACAAAAUAUCGUCAAGGCUCUGCUUCAGUACUUUAGUGCUGCCUUAGGUUGACGACAUUCUUAACAGCUUAUCAGACCCUUGACGACUUAUCACAAAAUGUCGUCACAGACUUCAACUUAGGCUAAUUCUCUAUCUAUGGCUGACGAUGACCUUGAUAGCUUAUCACAAGGCUGACGACUUAUCACAAAUGUUGUCAACCACACUUUUCUUCUGAUUUCAACUUCUUUUCUUCUAUUCUUAUUCGUUCUCUAUCAUAUCAGCUUCUACUGCAAAAUCAAACAUAAACCAAUAAAAAAAGAUAAAAGUUGCUUAAGACUUCACAAUUAUUCUUAGUUAAAAGCCUCAAAUGUGUUAGUGUUAGCUCACACAUCAAUACUACAAACCAACUCAGAAUCUUAGCACGAUAUGUAUGAAAAAAAUAAAGAACUCCAAAGAAUGACGCAUAGCCUCCCGAAGAUUGGAAAUGGCCAUCAAUGUUUUGACCCGCAGGACUCUAUUAGAAACUUGCUCUUGUACCAAUAAUACCAGUAAAACCUAGGCUCUGAUACUAAUUUGUCACAUCCCAAAUUUUGAGUCAUGAUGGCACCUACCAUAACCCACUAGUAGGUAAGCCGACACCAUAACCCGGAGCUAAUGCAAUGGGUUACCUUGGUAGAAACAUCCAACAUGGACCCUAUGUAGCAACACAAUAUAACAACAACAUUCUACAAACAAAAUUACUAACAUUCGAAUACCAAUACCAUGACCUGGUAGUAUAAGUACAAGAGCAACUCUAAAUCUGACAACAAAAAUUAGAAUUUGAAGUCUAGAAACUUAAAUAGUCUUAUACAACUGUCUUGAGUACAAAAGACAAGUAAAGAAAGAAUAAAAAGAGGGAAACUCAAACUCCAAGAUCUCGCCCUAUCCCCUGAUGAUCAACACAACACGAUCUCGACUCAACAGUGGAAACUAGAACUCAGGUUUGCACCAAAAAGGUACAUAAAUGCAGUAUGAGUACCAAAACACGGGUACUCAUUACGCAUCAUCGGCUGACUGAGCUCAAAUAUGAUAUAAAGAUGAGAUAAAGUAAGACAAUGAUCUUAAUGUCAAGGGGUAGGAUCGAACCUGAAUCUACUUUAAUACUACUGUAAGAACAUCUAUACUACUAAAGCAAUAACAUGACAUCCUGUUUCAAAAUACUCCAUAAUCACCAUAACAACUGAGAAUCAUUUUGAAAGAGUACAGUUAUAUACACAAUAUCAAAACAUCUACUUUAUAUAAUCAUCAUUAACCAUCUUUAGACCAUAAACACAAGAACUUACCACAACGUCCACUAUCAGGAAGUACACGAAAGAGAGCACAACAAAGAACGCAUCACAACAUCCCAUACCACCGAAGAAUAUAUAAAAGAACAUCAAACAAGAACUCAUCACAACAUCCUAUACCACCGGAGAGUACACCAAAGAAUACAACCAAUAAUACAAUAAAGCACAACUACUCCAUCAAUUUAACAAAAAUCGCAGGUAGCAUAACCCCGCCAUGGGUCAUUACCGAAAUCCACUUCCAAUUACCCAUACCUUAAUUCAACAUAAAGAAAGCAACAUUGUCAUAGCAUAGGUUUGUAAUCAUUAAUUCUAUAAUUCAUUGAUAAAUACUGCGAAGUCCACACUACUUAACCUUAUUUUUCCAAAAGUCAAAAGAUUACAAGUCUUAAAAUCACUAGUAAUCAAAUUGGGGAAAAACUACAAGACACCCAUAGUAUAGGUUAUUCAACUAUCAUAAGGCCAUUCUUUAACUAGGAUCAUCAUUACAUGAGUUAUCAACUAAGCCAUCUCAACUUCACAUGUUAGGAGAUAAUUUAACUAACCAUCACGCAAUACUAGAUCCAUCAUCACUAAGCAUGUCACAAACUUAAGGACUAGUUUCCAUAUUUUAAUCAAGUAAAGUCCACCAACUAGUUUACUAGGUUUCGAGGUUUCAAAUAAUAAUCAUAUACUUUAGAAGUAGCUAGUUAUCACAUAAGCCACCUUACUAGGCAAGAUUUCAUAGUAUAACCUCUUAUUCAAGUCAAGUAUAUAUAUAGGUUAGCCCUUGAAUUUUUUAUGAAAGUUUACACAUAACGCUAAGCCUUAACUUAAUAUUAGACAUAAAUUUCCCCUAGUAGCUAAUUUAGCAUCAACAAGGGUCACACCUCUUAUAUAGUUAUUUGGAACAAGAAAUGAAUAAUAAUUUACCAGGAGAGACCUCAUAAUUCAAGCAUAUAGGUGGUUGGCCCCAUAUGGCCUAAACUUACAAAUAUCAAUACAUAUAAGUAAAUUUGGCCCACACAGCAUCAUUAUGUUCUUACCUCUUUCGGAUUCAUCAGGCAUCAUCACAAUAUUGACAUAUUUCUCUGAAUUCAUCGGGAUUAUCAUAAUAUCACACAUUCCUCUAGAAUUGAACCGGGCAUCAUCAUAAUAUAACAUAUUCCUCCAAAUUCACCGAGCAUCAUCAAAAUAUCACAUAUUCCUCCGAACUCGAAUCGGGCAUCAUCAUAAUAUCACAUAUUCCUUCGGACUCGAAUCGGGUAUCUUUAUAAUAUCACAUAUUCCUCCAGAUUCACUGGGCAUCAUCAUAAUAUCAUAUAUUUCUCCAGACUCAAACUGGGCAUCAUCAUACUAUCACAUAUUCAUAUAGAGUCAAACCGAGCAUCAUUAUACUAUCACAUAUUUUUCUAGAUACAACAACAUACGUCCACAUGCAUAGCCAAACCAAUAACCAAAUACUCAAGCUCACAAUACAUAAAAAAAUAGGGAUGUGGGAUAACACUUGCCAUUUUACCUUACUAAUAAGCUUCACACGUAAUGUGAGCAUCAAUAAGAGCAUGAGUAUUUACCAAACAUUCACAAUAAUCACUUAACAAGGUUAUUCAAGUCAUGAUAAUAAGAAAAUAUGAUAAUCGAGUGCAACCAUCCCAACUUCUAUACAUAUACAUAUAGCUUGGACAAUCACUACGUAUCUAGGUCGCUAAGCAUUUACUUUGUUCAAGCUUAAGGUGGGUCAAUUCCCACUUCUAAAUCCCGAGAAUACCAAGCUUACUAAAAUAUGUCUAGCAUCUACCCAAAAUUAGGCUAAGUCAUCCAUACCUCACCAUAAAGUCUUACCAAUCCUUUCUAAAUCUAUAGGGAAAGUCUCUUCAAGAAUCCUUCCUAAGUAAACCCAACACCAAGGUCAUCUCCUAUCUAGGAAUUAUAUAGGUUAAUACACUCCUACAGAUAGAGAAGUAUACCAUUCAUGUCUACUUAGGACAACUAUAGUAUUCUCACACUAUUCAUGAGACCACAAUUAAGCUAACCAAGGUCCUAAAGUAAGUGUCAAAUAUCAUACCUUACAAAUCCAUGGACUAUAACAAUUAAUAAAUCCCAAGUUCACUAAUUAAUCAACUAUCGUCUAAAUUCCCCACCCAAUCUCGCAAGAUAUUAAUGAUUAUAUUAUAAACAAGCUCAAUCUGGACCACGAGUAAGCCUAACCUACCUUGAAUCCAAGCAAAUCAUGAACCAACGAGUUUUUCCUUUCCUUUUUGAGAAGCUUUCUCUUCCACAAGCAAUGCUAUCAACAAUAUAAUCUAAUCAUUACAACAAGAAUAAAAAUACCCAUUAUAGCACCAUUGUGCCAUGGGUUUCAAAAUGACAUCAAACCUCAAGUGGGUCCUACCUUUGGAAAAUGAGUUGCUGAUACCAACCCAUAGUCUAAAUAUUAUUAGGGAGCUAAUAACCCUCAAGAAAUUUAAGUAAAUCAAUCAUAUUUUUGGAUACAAUUGAACGUCAAAGACUUAGGAUUUUUUGGUCUAGAAAUCAAGAAAUUAAUAUCAAAUUUGAAAAAAUCUUACCUUAGAUUUGUAGAAGAAAAAUUAGAUUAACACAAGUUGCUAAGCUUCUAAUCAAUCGACAAGACUCAUUUUUUCUGUCAACAAAUAUUUAUGGCUUUUAGGGUUUUGAAAAUGCUGAAAAUAUCUCAAAAAUUGGCCAAAGGGCCUUUUUAUACGAGUUCAAAUGGGUCAGUAGGGUCAAAACUUGUUUUUCACCUACCAGACUCAUUCAGACUCUGUUUUUCACAAACGAACUAUGUAACCUUACUAAAUUUGAUAUUUUAGAUACAUUGGUGAAGUUAGAUUUGCCAUCCGAGGUCAUUUAAGCUACUUGUUGGUCCCACACCCAUAUAUUUCGACUUUUGACUUUUUGACUAAUGGGUCAAAUUAGCUUGGGUGCUGUGGGAUCCGAACCAAAAGUCUACCUAUCGUAAAAUCAAUAUUACAUAGCUACUGAUGUAGUCAAAAUUUGUAUCUGAAAUUGUUUUGGUAAAGUUUUUGUUUAGAGGCCAUUUGGAAUCGACGAAGACUUCAAAUUGGAAAAGUGGUUCUAAAAACCAAACAAACUGUCAUGUAACCGACUUAUCGAUUCCACCAAGUAACUAAUGACUUGUGACGGCUAUGAAGGAGCUCUAUAAGCAAAGAUAAGCAAAACACAGCUAAUGGCCUGGAGGUUCAUUACAAAUACACACUUGAAUUUAUUUUUGGUUAGAAAUGAUAUAAAUACCAAGUUCUUUAUCAACUACAGUAUAUGAAGGACUUUGUUGAGUGUCAACGCCUUUCCUUAUGUUAUCUUCAAGAAAAUUUUUCUUGUUCCUUCAACCUUUGCUAUUGUGGAGUUAUCCAUAUAAAUCUUCUCCUCAUCUUGAGCCGAAGCAUAAGAACCAAAAAACUCCUUGUUGGCACAUAUGUAGCAUGUGGCACUGGAAUCAAUCCAUCACUCUUUAGGAUUACCCACCAAGUUACAUUCUAAGAGCAUGGAUCAUAGAUCAUCCACUUUAUUUUUUGAUUCAGCCAUGUUGGCUUGAUCCUUCUUCUUGACUUUCUUUGGGGCCCGAUAAUCUAUGGAUUUAUGGCCAGCCUUGCCAUAAUUAAAGCAAUUUUCUUUGAACUUUUUAUUUAGAGGAUUGCUUUGUUGUUCAAAUGUUUUCUUUUAUUUCUUUAAGUUAUUAGGGUCAUCUUCAUCAAGAUUUGCUCCACUAAUUACAGAAUUCCCUUUUUCAUCUACUUUGUUAUCUUCUUCAGUAUGUAACCUCACGAUGAGGCCUUCAACAGAAAUUUUCUUUUCUUUAUGCUUCUAGUAAUUUUUAAAGUCGUUCCACAAAGGUGACAACUUUUCUAUUAUAGCCACUACUUUGAAAGCCUUAUUCACAAUCAAACCUACAACAAAGAUUAUAUGAUUGUUAAAAAGAACUUUAAUAUGUUCAAGUAAGGUACUCACUAUGUUUAUACCUUCUGCUAGGAGAUCAUGGAUGAUCACUUACAGUUGUUGCACUUGAGAGAUGAUAUUCUUACGGUUUGUCAUCUUAAAUACAAGAAAUUUUGCAAGAAGAACUAUUUAGUUCCAGCAUCCCCAGUUUUAUAUCUUAAUUCCGAUGCAUCCCAUAAUUUUUUCAAGGUUUUUAGACCGCUGUACACAUUGUACAGAUACUCUUGAAGACUACUUAGUAUAUAUUUCUUACAUGAAAAGUUUGAGCCUUUUCUUGCCUGCAUUACUAUAAAACGUUCCUUGUUCGGUAUCUCUUAGGGAAAUUGUUUAACAUUUUCAAAGAUAAACCUUUAAAAACUUAGAGUCGUCAAAUAGAAGAACAUCUUUUGCUACCAACGUUUGAAAUUCACACCUGGAAACAUUUUGAAUUUUUUUGUUGGUGCCAUAGUGAGCGCGACACUCGUAUGGCUUAUUGUAGCAACAGUUGUAGUUGCUAUACUUGUCUUUUUACCAUUUUAAUGACUUUCAACAGGCAUUUUUUCUGUCACAAAAAGACAACCAAUUUAGUAUGUCAGAAGAAUACUAACUAUAAAGUUUUAAAAACUCUAAGCACCAACUUGUUUCUAGUUUAACAGUGAAGUUUUUAUGUUUUUCAAAUCGUCAAUCGAAUGAACUUUAACUUGUGGUAAAAUUUUUAUAUCUUUAAAUCACUAUUAAGUUCAAACAGAGUAGAAAUUCAAAUUCUUUAAUCUUUAGAAGCAUAAAAAUACAGAGAUUUCAAUGAAUCAGUGAAGUAUUUAUAUUCUGCAAACCAAAUUCCCAAAUUGAUUUGUCGGUUAAGUUUUUAUAUUCUAUCUGUAUUGAUUAAUCAUGUGUUUCAAGGCAUCCCUAUACAUCUAUUAUCAAAACUCAAUCCUCCUAAAGGGGUACUAAGGCAUUUACAUAGCAUCUUUGCUAUGUUUUUCCGGAAGAACACCACAGAUAAGAAGAGUAGACAUUGGGUGAGUUGGGACACUUUAUGCUUACCUAAAUUAGAAGGAGGUGUUGGUUUUAGGUCUCUUUUUGAUGUUUCUAAUGUUCUUUUUUGUAAAAUUUUAUGGAACUUGAGGAGUAGACCUUCACAAUUGGGAGCUUUUAUGACCAACAAAUAUUGCAAAAAAGCUUCAUCCAGUAUUGACCUAAUGUAGGGGAGAUUCCCCUAUAUGGAAAAAGCUAAGAUUUGACAGAGAGCUCAUAGAGCAUCAAAUUUGGUGGAAGAUUGAGAAUGGGAAUUCUAGUUUUUGGUAUGACUUUUGGACUACAAUGGGAGCAUUAUAUCACAUUAUCGCAGAUAUAGGGGAUGGGGAAAUUGAAGUUAGGAAUUUUACAACUGUAAAUAGGUGGAAUGAGCAAAGUUUGAGUAAAUUUUUCCCUAAAGAGAAUGUAGAUUUCAUCAUUAAAAACAUCUGAUCUCCAAUGCAAAUAGAUAAUCUAGAUAAAUAGUGUGGAUGCUUGAACCUAGUGGAAUUUUCUCAGUCAAGAGUGUGUGUGAGUAUACUAUACAAAAGGAUCAGAAAGAAGACAUAUUUUAAUAUUUAUGGAGUGAUAAGCUGCCUUUUAAAAUAUCUUUUUUCACUUGGAGAAUGUGGAAAUUCAGGGUGCCAGUGGAUAAAAUAGUGCAACACAUGGGUGUUAACAUGGUUUCUAGGUGUUGGUGUUGCACUAAUGGUUACUAAUGUUGCAGGUAUAUACAUUGAAGGCUUACAGUUAUCACAAGUGAUCAUUAAAUGGUGGCCAAGAAAAUGUUGUUCAAACUUAAAGCUACUUAUGAGAGCUAUAUCAUCUAUAAUUAUUUGGAACCUAUGGAAGAGAAGGAAUAGAUUAAAGCAUUGAAAUACAUCAUCAUUUACUCAUUUAGUUUUCAAGGUCAACGCUAACCUAUGAAGACUCGGGAGAAUUCUACAUCCAAAAAUACAUGAUUUCCCAAUACACUGGUAAAAUAUUAUGGUAUAUUAAGAGAACCUUAAAGCCAAACUAUUUCAUCUUCCAAUUUGCUGGAAACCACUGGAAGGAUGUCUAAAAUACAACACUGAUGGUAUAUCAAGAGGCAAUCCAUGUAGGAGCACCUGCAAUUUCUUCUUGAGGAACUUUGCAGGUGAUUUAAUAUAUGCUCAAGGGGAAAAAAUUCAGGAAAGCACAAUUCUAGAAGCAGAAGCCAUGGCAAUAAAAAAGGCUCUAGCACACUGUGUGACAAAAGGGAUUACUAAAGUUAGUCUGGAAAUGGAUUCACUAAUGAUGAUUAAAAUUCUUACAAAAAUGUGAUUACCUUGGAAUAUUAUUGGGAUCGUGGAAGCAGAACAGAAAUAUUUAGAACUAUGUCAGGUUCACAUCCAACAUGUAUACAAAAAGGGUAAUUAUUUGGUUGAUUGCUAGCCAAUUUAGCUUUUGAUAAUACAGGUAGACUUGUCUUUAAUUUCUUCUCAGAAUUACCAAGUCAUGCCAGAAGGAUUUUGAAUCUAGAUAAGCAUCAAGUGCCAAAUUUAAGAAUUCGUACUAAGGAAAUAGUUAGAUAUAAGGAUGGGUGUCAAGGAUCCGUCACAACAAUUAUAAGAUGAGUUCAAGCAUUUUUAUUUUCUUGAUGUAGAUUAGUAUUUCUAGUACCUUUGUAGAGGAACAAUUCAUUUCAAAAACCCAAUUCAUAAGGGCAUUUAUAGAUCUAAAGUCAUUGUACUUGAGCGAAGAAUUAUAGAAGACAUGAUUAUAAGUCUUGGUACAGAUUCAAACUUCUUUGAGUCGUCACAGAUGCAAGUCAAAGCUAUAGGAAAACACACAGAUAUAAAGAUAAAUAUUUGCAAAGGGAAAGCCAACUUAUACCUGGAAAAAACUCCAAAAAUCUAUUUGAAGCAGGUUGUGGUCGGUUAAUAAGAAGCUCGCCGGAAGUCUUUCGCUCCAGGAGCUCAUCACCAAACAUUUUUGUUGCUAAAAAUAUUAGUAGGAAAGCCAAGAAAUAAAAAUAAUAUGGGAAAGGAGCUUACAUUUGUUUCACAGCAGGUCAUCACUUUCCUAUUUGCUCAAAUGAUGGAAGAUGAUGGAGAGGAAUUAGCAGAGCUUCUGAUUCAUUUGCCUCUUCAUUUUCUUACUUUUUGUAUUAUUAUUUCCAAGGAAAUGUAUCGAUUGGGAUGCUCUUUUUUUUAUGGACAUGGUUUUAUU